GAUGAACGCUGGCGGCGUGCCUAAUACAUGCAAGUCGAGCGAACGGACGAGGAGCUUGCUCCUCUGACGUUAGCGGCGGACGGGUGAGUAACACGUGGAUAACCUACCUAUAAGACUGGGAUAACUUCGGGAAACCGGAGCUAAUACCGGAUAAUAUUUUGAACCGCAUGGUUCAAUAGUGAAAGACGGUCUUGCUGUCACUUAUAGAUGGAUCCGCGCCGCAUUAGCUAGUUGGUAAGGUAACGGCUUACCAAGGCAACGAUGCAUAGCCGACCUGAGAGGGUGAUCGGCCACACUGGAACUGAGACACGGUCCAGACUCCUACGGGAGGCAGCAGUAGGGAAUCUUCCGCAAUGGGCGAAAGCCUGACGGAGCAACGCCGCGUGAGUGAUGAAGGUCUUCGGAUCGUAAAACUCUGUUAUUAGGGAAGAACAAAUGUGUAAGUAACUAUGCACGUCUUGACGGUACCUAAUCAGAAAGCCACGGCUAACUACGUG
rnacentral:rRNA from 1 species